GACCGUGUAGCGUAGUGGUCUAACGCGUUUGCCUUACAUCCGAAAAACUCGAUUGUUCGCAAAAGAUCGCAGGUUCGACCCCUGCCACGGUCA